rnacentral:ribozyme from 11 species
AAAGAGAAUAGGCUUUGAAAGAUUCCAAAACUGGGCAAAAAACCUAAGGACUCUUCUUUGAGGUACAUCUUUGGUUUGUUUUUGGUAUUUUCGGUAUUUCUUUCUCUUUUUCCACUCAUUCCUAGUUGCAAUAAUUU